rnacentral:rRNA from 1 species
AGUUUGAUCCUGGCUCAGGAUGAACGCUGGCGGUAUGCUUAACACAUGCAAGUCGAACGGUCGCAAGACAGUGGCGGACGGGUGAGUAACGCGUAAGAAUCUGCCUCUAGGUUCGGGAUAACAGAGGGAAACUUCUGCUAAUACCGGAUGUGCCGCAAGGUGAAAGAUUUAUCGCCUGGAGAUGAGCUUGCGUCAGAUUAGCUAGUUGGUGAGGUAAUGGCUCACCAAGGCAACGAUCUGUAACUUGUCUGAGAGGAUGAUCAGUCACACUGGGACUGAGACACGGCCCAGACUCCUACGGGAGGCAGCAGUGGGGAAUUUUCCGCAAUGGGCGAAAGCUGGACGGGGCAAUACCGCGUGAGGGAUGAAGGUCUGUGGAUUGUAAACCUUCUUUUGUUAGGGACGAUGAUGACGGUACCUAACGAAUCAGCAUCGGCUAACUUCGUGCCAGCAGCCGCGGUAAGACGGAGGGUUCAAGCGUUAUCCGGAAUUAUUGGGCGGAAA